GACGAACGCUGGCGGCGUGCUUAACACAUGCAAGUCGAACGGAAAGGCCCUGCUUUUGUGGGGUGCUCGAGUGGCGAACGGGUGAGUAACACGUGAGUAACCUGCCCUUGACUUUGGGAUAUCUUCAGGAAACUGGGGCUAAUACCGGAUAGGAGCUCCUGCUGCAUGGUGGGGGUUGGAAAGAUUCGGCGGUGCGGGAUGGACUCGCGGCUUAUCAGCUUGUUGGUGUGGUAGUGGCUGACCAAGGCUGUGACGGGUAGCCGGCCUGAGAGCGUGACCGGCCACAUUGGGACUAAGAUACGGAGCAGACUGCUACGGGCGGCAGCAGGGGGGAAUAUUGCACAAUGGGCGGAAGCCUGAUGCAGCGACGCCGCGUGCGGGAUGCUGGCCUACGGGGUGUAAACCGCUUUCGCCGGUGACGAAGCGUGAGUGACGGUAACGGGUAAAGAAGCACCGGCUAACUACGUG
rnacentral:rRNA from 1 species